UACGGAGGGGGCUAGCGUUGUUCGGAAGUUAACUGGGCGUAAAGCGCACGUAGGCGGCUUUGUAAGUUAGAAGGUUGAAAGCCCGGGGCUCAACUCCGGAAUUGCCUUUAAGACUGCAUUCGCUAGUAAUUGUGGAGAGGUAAGUGGAAUUCCGAGUGUAGAGGUGAAAUUCGUAGAUAUUCGGAAGAACACCAGUGGCGAAGGCGACUUACUGGACACAUAUUGACGCUGAGGUGGCGAAAAGCGUGG
rnacentral:rRNA from 1 species